rnacentral:rRNA from 1 species
AGAGUUUGAUCAUGGCUCAGGAUGAACGCUGGCGGCGUGCCUAAUGCAUGCAAGUCGAGCGACGCAUGCCGGAGGGGUAACCCACUGGUAUGACGGAGCGGCGAACGGGUGAGUAACACGUGAGUAACCUGCCCCACAGACCGGGAUAGCCCAGGGAAACCUGGAUUAAUACCGGAUACUCUCUUCGGACCGCAUGGUUCAUUGAGGAAAGGCCUUUGUGCUGUGGGAUGGACUCGCGGCUUAUCAGCUAGUUGGUGGGGUAACGGCCUACCAAGGCAUCGACGAGUAGCUGGUCUGAGAGGACGAUCAGCCACACUGGGACCGAGACACGGCCCAGACUCCUACGGGAGGCAGCAGCAGGGAAUCUUGCACAAUGGGCGAAAGCCUGAUGCAGCAACGCCGCGUGUGGGAUGAAGGCCUUCGGGUUGUAAACCACUUUCAGGAGGGAAGAAAUUGACGGUACCUCCAAAAGAAGCCCCGGCCAACUACGUGCCAGCAGCCGCGGUAAUACGUAGGGGGCGAGCGUUAUCCGGAAUCAUUGGGCGUAAAGAGCUCGUAGGCGGUUCAGCAAGUCGGCUGUGAAAGUCCGAGGCUCAACCUCGGAACUGCAGUCGAUACUGCUGUGACUAGAGUCUGGUAGAGGAGAAUGGAAUUCCCGGUGUAGCGGU